rnacentral:rRNA from 1 species
UACGUAGGGUGCAAGCGUUGUCCGGAAUUAUUGGGCGUAAAGAGCUCGUAGGCGGUCUGUCGCGUCUGCUGUGAAAACUCAGGGCUUAACCCUGAGCUUGCAGUGGGUACGGGCAGACUAGAGUGCGGUAGGGGAGACUGGAAUUCCUGGUGUAGCGGUGAAAUGCGCAGAUAUCAGGAAGAACACCCGUGGCUAAGGCGGCUCUCUAGUAC